CCUACGGGAGGCAGCAGUAGGGAAUCUUCCACAAUGGGCGAAAGCCUGAUGGAGCAACGCCGCGUGGGUGAAGAAGGUCUUCGGAUCGUAAAACUCUGUUGUUAGAGAAGAAAGUGCGUGAGAGUAACUGUUCACGUUUCGACGGUAUCUAACCAGAAAGCCACGGCUAACUACGUGCCAGCAGCCGCGGUAAUACGUAGGUGGCAAGCGUUAUCCGGAUUUAUUGGGCGUAAAGGGAACGCAGGCGGUUUUUUAAGUCUGAUGUGAAAGCCUUCGGCUUAACCGGAGUAGUGCAUUGGAAACUGGGAGACUUGAGGGCAGAAGAGGAGAGUGGAACUCCAUGUGUAGCGGUGAAAUGCGUAGAUAUAUGGAAGAACACCAGUGGCGAAAGCGGCUCUCUGGUCUGUAACUGACGCUGAGGUUCGAAAGCGUGGGUAGCAAACAGGAUUAGAUACCCUUGUAGUC
rnacentral:rRNA from 1 species